GACGAACGCUGGCGGCGUGCCUAAUACAUGCAAGUCGAGCGGACGGAUGGGAGCUUGCUCCCAGACCGUCAGCGGCGGACGGGUGAGUAACACGUGGGCAACCUGCCUGUAAGACUGGGAUAACUCCGGGAAACCGGGGCUAAUACCGGAUAACUCUUUCCCUCACAUGAGGGAAAGCUGAAAGAUGGCAUCUCGCUAUCACUUACAGAUGGGCCCGCGGCGCAUUAGCUAGUUGGUGAGGUAACGGCUCACCAAGGCGACGAUGCGUAGCCGACCUGAGAGGGUGAUCGGCCACACUGGGACUGAGACACGGCCCAGACUCCUACGGGAGGCAGCAGUAGGGAAUCUUCCGCAAUGGACGAAAGUCUGACGGAGCAACGCCGCGUGAGUGAUGAAGGUUUUCGGAUCGUAAAACUCUGUUGUCAGGGAAGAACAAGUACCGGAGUAACUGCCGGUACCUUGACGGUACCUCACCAGAAAGCCACGGCUAACUACGUG
rnacentral:rRNA from 1 species